UGAGGCCAUGGGCUGAGAUACCGCAGGCGCUCCCCUGCUAAGGGAGUAGGCCCGGAAGGGUCUCGAGGGUUCGAAUCCCUUCGUCUCCGCCA
rnacentral:tRNA from 1 species